GACCUGUUGGAGAGAACUACCACCCAGAACUCCUGAGCUUCCAUCUGAGGCUGUAAUAAAUGAGGCCAUAAUUAUCUUCCCUGACAUUCAGAAAGAAUCCCAAGGGAAUUGUAUAUGGCAAGAAAGCAUAUACAUGGAUAUUUAGGAGGCCAGAGUGGCAAAUUACUAGCUGCCCCCAAAUAUUUUUAUCAGCAUCCAACUAGAAACUUCAUUUUCCAGCCUCCAGUAGAAUAUGAAAAAGCUGAGGCUUAAAAGCACAAAGUUACUCCAAAGGAGAGGGAUGAUAGAGUUAAUCGUCUAAACCAGGACACAUCUGAGCAUGAAAGGAGGCAGUCACUGCACAGGAUGCUAGAACAAACGGAAGUGAUUUGCAAUUCCUGGAUGACACCUGAAUUUUACCAAAAGGUUUCAAGGCAACCCUUUAGAAAGUGACCUUUUGCUUUCC
rnacentral:lncRNA from 1 species